CACAAUUUCUGUGUUUGCUGCAGGGGAUCCCCUGGCAGGGUCAGAACUGACUCAGCCCCAGUGACAUGAGCCUCCAAGCCAUUAGUGCUGGGCUUUAUCUAUGAACAGAAGUCUUGUGUGUUCCUCCCUGGGGUCAACAACCAGCACUCACCUGGUAGAGCUCCUCCUUGGUCACGUAGGGCUUCCCCUCGGAGCUGAGGGCACGGAAAGCGCUCUCGAUCUCCUCGCUGGAUUUCACGUUCUCCGUUUCCCGGCUGAUCAUGAAGGCCAUGUACUCCUGCAGCGAGACGUGUCCAUCCCUGCCAGAGAAACACAGGUUAAUUUCUAGCCCCAUUCGAAAGGCAACGUGAUCAGCAGCCACACUUCAUGCCAGACUCAAAGCACCCGCUUUACUGGACCUCGUGGAAUUAGAAUUUAGUGCAGUCCCACCCCCUGCCCAGCACACACCACACACACCAACUGCAGGGUUAAGGCUCAGACUCAACGCCCGCCUAGAGAUGAAGCGCACGCCCAGAGCCUUGAGCAGGAAGCUGGGAACCAACCGUGGAAAGAACCAACAGGGAAACAAAACCUCCAAGCAUCUCUAAGCCGUGAAAGUUAGU